UUUGCUUUGGAGGAUUAUCUCAGAUAGAUUUAGGUUCUAUGUAUACUAGCUUGGAGGUUAAG
rnacentral:tRNA from 1 species